rnacentral:rRNA from 1 species
CCUACGGGGGGCAGCAGUGGGGAAUAUUGGGCAAUGGAGGCAACUCUGACCCAGCAACGCCGCGUGAAUGAUGAAGGUCUUCGGAUUGUAAAGUUCUUUUCUAAGGGAAGAAGAAAGUGACGGUACCUUAGGAAUAAGCCUCGGCUAACUACGUGCCAGCAGCCGCGGUAAUACGUAGGAGGCAAGCGUUAUCCGGAAUGACUGGGCGUAAAGGGUGCGUAGGUGGUUUGACAAGUUGGUAGCGUAACUCCGGGGCUCAACUUCGGAACUACUACCAAAACUGUUGGACUCGAGUGCAGGAGGGGCAGGCGGAAUUCCUAGUGUAGCGGUGAAAUGCGUAGAUAUUAGGAGGAACACCAGUGGCGAAGGCGGCCUGCUGGACGACAACUGACGGUGAGGCGCGAAAGCGUGGGGAGCAAACAGGAUUAGAUACCCUAGUAGUC